rfam:Salmo salar isolate Sally breed double haploid chromosome ssa21, whole genome shotgun sequence.
AAUGCACCAAUUUGUAAGUCGCUCUGGAUAACAGCAUCUGCUAAAUUACGGAAA